ensembl:snRNA U6 U6 spliceosomal RNA
GUGGUAUUCAAUAACAUAUAUUAAAAUUGGAACAAUAUAGUGAAGAUUGGGAUGGCCCUACACAAGGAUUACACACAAAUUUAUUAAUUGGUCCAUAUUAAA